AGUGAACGCUGGCGGUAGGCCUAACACAUGCAAGUCGAACGGCAGCACAGUAAGAGCUUGCUCUUACGGGUGGCGAGUGGCGGACGGGUGAGGAAUACAUCGGAAUCUACUUUUUCGUGGGGGAUAACGUAGGGAAACUUACGCUAAUACCGCAUACGACCUACGGGUGAAAGCAGGAGAUCUUCGGACCUUGCGCGAUUGAAUGAGCCGAUGUCGGAUUAGCUAGUUGGCGGGGUAAAGGCCCACCAAGGCGACGAUCCGUAGCUGGUCUGAGAGGAUGAUCAGCCACACUGGAACUGAGACACGGUCCAGACUCCUACGGGAGGCAGCAGUGGGGAAUAUUGGACACUGGGCGCAAGCCUGAUCCAGCCAUACCGCGUGGGUGAAGAAGGCCUUCGGGUUGUAAAGCCCUUUUGUUGGGAAAGAAAAGCAGCAGGUUAAUCCCCCGCUGUUCUGACGGUACCCAAAGAAUAAGCACCGGCUAACUUCGUG
rnacentral:rRNA from 1 species